UGAAAUAUGUGAAUCUAAACAGUUCAGAGGAUACAAGAUUUGAUAUCGUACACAUUAUACUUUGUAUAUUAUCACAAAAUGCAAACAAAGCGAAUUUCCAAGAUACAAAACAACAAAUUCUUAAUGCUUGUCCAAGUCCACCAGGCUUUGCCAACUGUCUUCACAAACAUUGUCUAAUCCAUUGUUUUAUGUGCACCUCAAAUUUGCACUAUCAUUAAUUUCCAAAGGGAUAUGAGUUUCAAGAUCUGCUGCAGCAAAAUCCUCUUGCAUAAGUCACACACGACAUACUUUUAACUCAAAAAUUACAGGCAGCUUAUGGUUUCCAGGGAGCCGGAGGUGGGGGUGGCGUGGGAAACAUUGGAGGAACAGCUGAGAAAAUUGU
rnacentral:misc_RNA from 1 species